UGACAUCUGACUGACAGUUAGGGCAAAAAAAAUCAAAAUAAAUAAAAAAAUAUAGUAAUAAGCAAAAAAGUGUAUAUUUCUCAACAUAUUUAAUUAAUCCUAAGCAAAAGCGAUAAUUUUUUUGAUUUAGGGAGUAGUUUUUAAAAUUAGCCACCAUUUUCGCUCCCGAGUUUCUCAACGAUUUAAAGAUAGAUUCGGUGUGGGGCUGGGCGUCUCCGCCCUUACGCCUCCAGUUUUCCUCGCAGUCGAGGGGCCCUUGCCGAAUGGGCGAGAGUACCGGAGGGGAUCGACCCCCCUCGCCCGCCCGACUGUCACACACUUCGGAUAAACAUCCGAAAAACACCCUGACCGAACUGAAUCUACUGCGAAGACAUCGCGAGUUGUGCGACGUGGUACUAAAUGUAGGCGGACGUAAACUGUUCGCCCACAGGGUUAUUCUGAGCGCUUGUAGCCCUUAUUUUAGAGCCAUGUUCACUGGGGAAUUGGCCGAGUCCAGGCAGACCGAAGUUACUAUUAGGGAUAUCGAUGAGAUGGCUAUGGAUUUGUUAAUUGACUUUUGUUACACCUCGCACAUAACAGUAGAGGAAUCGAACGUGCAAAUGCUCUUACCGGCCGCUUGUUUACUACAACUGACCGAAAUCCAAGACAUUUGUUGCGAAUUCCUCAAACGACAAUUGGAUCCGUCAAACUGUCUCGGUAUCCGGGCAUUCGCCGACACUCACUCUUGCAGGGAAUUGCUACGGAUCGCGGACAAAUUCACCCAGCAUAACUUCCAAGAAGUGAUGGAAUCCGAGGAGUUUAUGCUCCUACCGGCCAGUCAAUUGGUCGACAUUAUAGCGAGCGACGAGUUAAACGUUAGGACCGAGGAGCAGGUUUUUAACGCGGUGAUGGCCUGGGUUAAGUAUAACGUGACCGAGAGGAGACAACAUUUGGCCUCGGUACUGCAGCAUGUCAGAUUACCGCUGUUGAGUCCGAAAUUUCUUGUUGGCACCGUUGGGUCAGACCUGCUGGUUAGAUCUGAUGAGUCUUGUAGGGACUUAGUGGACGAGGCGAAGAAUUAUUUGUUGCUUCCGCAGGAGAGGCCGCUCAUGCAAGGACCACGGACUAGACCAAGGAAACCUACUAGAAGAGGUGAGGUAUUAUUUGCUGUUGGAGGAUGGUGUAGCGGCGACGCGAUCGCCUCCGUAGAAAAAUUUGAUCCGCAAACGAUGGAGUGGAAAAUGGUCGCUCCGAUGAGCAAAAGGAGAUGCGGAGUAGGAGUCGCGGUACUAAACGACCUCUUAUACGCGGUAGGAGGGCACGACGGACAAAGCUAUCUGAAUAGCAUCGAGAGGUAUGACCCUCAAACUGAUCAAUGGUCUUGCGACGUCGCACCGACCACAUCCUGCCGAACCAGCGUCGGAGUGGCCGUAUUAGAUAACCUUCUUUAUGCAGUUGGAGGACAAGAUGGAGUUCAGUGCUUAAAUCACGUUGAACGGUACGAUCCGAAAGAAAAUAAAUGGUCAAAAGUGACUUCGAUGACCACGCGACGCUUGGGGGUAGCCGUCGCCGUUUUAGGCGGUUACCUUUAUGCCAUUGGAGGAUCCGAUGGACAGUCGCCUCUGAAUACCGUUGAAAGGUACGAUCCGCGACACAACAAAUGGACAUUGGUCAGUCCGAUGUCGACGAGGCGAAAACACUUGGGCUGCGCCGUAUUCAAUAACCUGAUCUACGCGGUGGGCGGUAGGGACGACUGCAUGGAACUGAGCAGCGCAGAACGCUACAAUCCGCACACGAACACCUGGAGCCCCAUCGUAGCGAUGACAUCGCGAAGGAGCGGGGUCGGUUUGGCGGUAGUCAACGGGCAACUGUACGCCGUGGGCGGUUUCGACGGUACCGCCUAUUUGAAAACGAUCGAGUUCUACGACACCGAACAGAACCAGUGGCGGUUGUGCGGCUCGAUGAACUACAGACGAUUGGGGGGUGGGGUGGGUGUGAUGCGCGCCCCACAAACCGAGAACCGGAUAUGGUAGUUGCCGCAUUUAUUGACGCCACAUUUUUUAUAUUUUCAAGAUGAAGUAUGAUGUUUGUGUCAUAUGGCUUGUUUGGUCCUCCUUUUUGUUAUCGAUUUAAUUGCCUAUUGAUUAUUAAUGUUUAGCGAGGAUAAAAUGGUAUGUUUUCUAUCAAGGUGUAUCAAAAGUAGUGUUUAAGUUAGUGGCACAGGGGGCAAUCAGCGAUCAAACAUUUCUAUUAUAGUAAAAGUAUCUGUCGAGUCAAAUCCUUCAAUAAAGCAGCGACCCUACGACGGCUAAAAUAUUACUGCGAAUAUCCACAAACGUUUAAUUUUGUAUAUCGGUGAUUCCUUCUUUACUUUGGGAAAUUGAAAAUUGCUCUCAUUUUUUUAUUAAUUCUGUUUAUUCAUUAUUCUAUUUUAUUUCUUAAAAUUGCUUUAAUUUCUAUUAAUUUUCAUCCUGAUGAUCCCUUUAAAGAUACUAUUUUAGAGUUUGACCAGUCAAUUUUCUUAUUUAAGAAAAAUGCAGGACCGUGCCAUAAUUUGGAACAUUCUAAAAUAUUUUCAGGUGGUAAAAUAUCAUGAGAUCAAAGAUCAACAAAAUUCUCGGCCGAUUUCACAUAUAGUAAAAGAGCUUCCUAUUUUCUAACAAAUUUUCCACUGUUACAGAUAUUUAAAAAAUAAUAAUUCCUUUGGCACUAUACUAAAGUAAUAAAUAUAAUUCUACUUGUUAUAAAGCCAUCCUGUAAUUUCAUUAAAAAAAAUAGAAAAACACAAAUACCAAUAAAACAUGAACGAAUAGUUCAAAACUUGCCUUCUCCACUUUAUGUAAAAUUUCACAAUUGACACAAAAAACAUGCUCUUAGAUGUACAGUUGUAAAUGUAACAUAAUUGUUUGUUUAUGGAUUUACUUUAUUAUUUUCAAUACUAAUUUUAUCAUUUAAUUCUAUUUAUUUAAUUUUCACAAAAUUUAUCUAUGAACUAUUUAUUUAUGAACCUUUUUUUAAUAAGUUUGCCAAUAAUAGGGCUCCACAAAGUUCCAAACAAGAGAAACCUUAACCUUUGAACAUCAUAGUAAAACUGUCAUUCAUUAUUUAAGGAAAUUUUUCUUAAAUAAAUAUAGGCAAUAAUAGAUGCAUCAGAAAAAGGGCUUUAAUACACUUUAAAUUCUUAGAAAAAUUCUUCACUUAUUCCAGGCAGUUGGGGUCACUUUUCCAGUUUUUUCCGGGCAAUUGAACUAGUUUUUCACGUGUUUCAAGUUCCUGGAAUAAUUUAUUAUUUAUUUCGAACCCUUGGAGUCAUUUUUAAAAAUUUCCAGGGUAUUAAAGUGGUUUUCAAUGCAGUAUAACCUCCUAGAAAAAUUGUUCAUUUAUUCCAGGCAGUUGGGACCUACUUUUUCAGUUUUUUCCAGGCAAUUGAAUUAGCUUUUCACGUGCUUCAAGUUCCUGGAAUAAUUUUUUAUUUAUUUCAGACACUUGGAGUGAUUUUUUCAGGCAAUUGAAGUGGGUGUCAAUGCAGUUUAACUUCUUGGAAAAAUUCUUCACUUAUUCCAGGCAGUUGGGGUCACUUUUCCAGUUUUUUCCAGGCAAUUGAAUUAAUUUUUCACGUGUUUCAAGUUCCUGGAAUAAUUUCUAUUAAUUUCGGACACUUAGUCAUUUUUUAAAAUUUCCAGCCACUUGAAAUGGGUUUCAAUGCAGUUUAACUUCUUAGAAAAAUUCUUCACUUAUUCCAGGCAGUUGGGCCUUACGUUUCCAAUUUUCUCCAGGCAAUUGAACUAGUUUUUUAGGUGUUUCAAGUUCCUGGAAUAAUUUCUUAUUUAUUUCAACGCUUAGAGCAAUUUCUUAGAAUUUCCAGACAAUUAAAGAAAUUUUUAAUAAAAAAAUUAAUUCUAGAAAAAACUUAAAUUCCCACCAUAAUUUUCCACAUAUAUAAUCUAAUCUACCAUCGGUCAUUAACCAAUCUAUACAUAUUGAAGUUAUUCAAUUAAUGCUAACCCUUUUUACUGUUCUAAUCAAAUUCUAACCAACCAUGCAACUCUAUGUUACUUAGAUCUUAGUCUUUUAAGACAGAAAUCAUUCUCACAAGCAUCUAAUUUCAUUGAUAUGCCAUAACUGUUAAACUAAGAUUUUUGCCAAGAUUAAACAUGGUCCUAAGAAGCCCAAAGAAUCAAAGAUCUUCACUGUAUAUGAUAAUAUUGUAACCUUACUGGAAUUAGAAAGUAGUAGAGAUACUAAAUUUCAAAUUACCAAAGUUUUAUGACUAUAUUCUUCACCAAAAUGUAUUGAUUUCAUAUCUGACAAAUUUCCACUUGCAAAGAAUUCAUACAUUCUGACCUUAGAAUUAGAUCAAUUUUUAGACUUUAAACAAUUGCACUUUGAAAAUUCAUCCGCAUAGAUGUAAUGCAGAAGUUCCAUUGAUACCAAAGUCACUGUAUUGAGUGUCUAUUCUUGAAUUUUAUGAUUAGAAUCUAAACUCCAUACAAUUUUUUAAAUCUGACGUACUAACCAAAACCAUCCUAUACAUUUUAAUAAUAUCAACACACAUUACAAGUUUGUGUUUACGAAAUUUCAAAAGAAUUUACUACGUGUUUCAUCCUGUAAAUUAGGACUUAUAUAUUAGAUAUCAUUGUGAUAACCAUGUAGUUUUUUCUGAUCACUAAAUAUCACUCUUAACUUUGUGGUAAUGAUCACACAAGACAGUUUAGCAAAUACCAUUUGACUCAUUUUCUAGGAAAGAUACAUACAGACUAUUCAACUCUAUAUUUGUACUUCUUUCUAAUAAGAAAAAUGUGUUCACAGCAUAUUGUGUAGAAUCACCAGGUUUAAGUCAUGUCACAUAAAGGAAUUUUUACUACAAAUCUCUCAAAAAAAAAGUCUUGAAAAGUUGAAUUAAGGAAUUUCACACUAUGUCUUCCUUUGACAAUACUUGUUGAAAUUUAAUUAAAUCAAUCAAAGAAUAAAGACAGGUGCCGAAUCCUAUGGUGGAAUGUCAAAAUGGGCCCCGGCUCGGUAUAUCGUUAGUUUUUUUUGCAAAUAUCUGGACUUAGGACAACCAUUGAGUAAUUCAAUAUAGCGUCUUUAUUUUAACAGUACUUCUGAUACAACUAUUUUUUUACCUUUGCUUUAUGUUCUAUAGAAAUAACAAAUUUUUCUAAAAAAACUCAUUUAUAUUAAAAAAUAUAUUUUCGGGUUAUGUUAUGGUGGCGUCAAUUAUCGAUGUUGUAUAUAAUCACGUUACAGUUCAAGUUAUAGUUCGAUAUUAUGUGUGAGUUACCUAGUAAUGGUAAUAUAAUAAGUAUAGUCUCCUUUUAGCUCCAUACACGUGAUCCAACAAUGUUUCUUAGUUUGCUUUCUUUUUCUUCUUUAAUCAAGGUUAACCUUGAUUAAAGAAGUUUAAGUUAACAUUUUCUAGAUGUCUAUAAUGACUUCCUUAUCCUCCUCAGACCCAAGGUGAAAUUAAAACAUAUCUUUUUAAAACACGUACUUUUUUGUAAAGUGUUGGGCCCAAAAAACAACAAGUAAAAAGUAAGGUAUCAUAUUUGAUACCUUGGGUUUAAAUAAAUACAAAAAAAGUUUCAAUAAAAAACUUUAUUGGUGAAAAAGAGCAAAACAGUUUCGCUCAACGGAGCAGCAAAGAUAUACGUCACAUGAAGCACACUUAGCAAAUUUACCACAUUUCGGAUAUCGACAUUUUGAUCUGGAUUUCUGGUCGUGUUUGGUAAAUACUGGUAGAUGAGUGUUUCCCUGCUUCCUCUCUCUUCUAUUUGGAAUAGGCUGAAUUUUCCUUUGUUUUCGGGGCGUUACCUGCUCUUCAUCAGAAUCACUUUGCUCGCAAUCUGCUUGAGGAAUAUCAGUGUAAACGAGAGUUUUGGCAAUUAAUAAUUUGAAGUCAAGGUAAUCUAAGGUUUCUUUUCUCCGCAAGCCUUCUGCAAUAGCAUUUUGUCGGUAUUCCAGCCAAGACGCAGCUACGGCAUAAUCCAAAAAAUGAUAAAUUGUACGUCCACUUUUUGGUACGUCCACGCAUUGCAUACUUUCCAAUGACCCUAUCUAAUAAAUCGACGCCUCCCAUAUUCUCAUUGUAAUCGGCAACUAUUAUUGCGGGUUGAUUAAUUCUAAUGUAUUUAUUUUCGGUCUUUGACCACCUUUUACAACCACCCAGGGGUUCAACACCAGAGCACAAGGAAACAAAAUGCACUGGUUUCGAAUCAAACCAUUUAGUCAGAAUAAUUUUUCCAUCUCCUCUCUUGAGUGAGUCAUGUGAUCCACGACCCAAUUUUUUUAACUGAUUAUCAGUUUGCGGAAUUGCGUUUUUGGGAAUUUUAGAAGCCAUUAUUGUACCAGCCAAAGUUAUUUGUCUUGACAAAAGAACAUCAAUCAAAGAUAUUGAAGUAAAAUAACGGUCAGUAUACACUGAUACUCCUAUCGGCAAAGUUUCGGUCAGCUUCAGCACCAUUCUGCCACCUACGUCUAGUUUUUCUGGUGUUUUAAAUAGCGAUGAUUCGACAGAUGGUCCUUUUCCGUCAUAGAGAUAAAAGUCCAACGGAAUUCCCUUCGGUGUUGUCAUGACGAAAUUUUUUAAUCCCACUGGAUUUGGCUUACCCCUAAUAAAUUGUCGCAUUUUUACUUGGCCAUGAAAAGAAAUCAUUUGUUCAUCUAUUGACACUGUUUUCGUUCGUUCAUUUAAACGGCAUCCUCUUUGCACUACGUCCAAUAAAGGCCUUACUUUCCAGAAUCUAUCUAUUAUUUUUUCUUUAUUGGUAACCCUCUGAUCUUCUACAAGUUUUACCCGUGAUGGCAAUAUAAAGUAACGAUUUCUUGAAAUUGUGUCUGAAACAAUGGGUACUCUUGUACAUCCUUAUUCUCGGUAGACCAUAAAUUCCAAUCAACAUGGAAGCUCCAAAGAAUUUUCGCAAUCCAUAUUCAGAAGUUUCAAGGGAACAAAGGGCCUGUCUCAAUAACCGCACGCAUAUUUGUGAAAAGUGCCAUUUGUUCAAAGAAAGUAUCAGAAAUGUAUUUUCUUAGGUACAUACUUGGUUGAUUUAAUUGAGUGGAAAUGUUCUCGUUUUUAAAGUUAAACUGGAAUGGUUCAAAUUCCCGGACACGGGACCAAGUUUUUUCAUGGGCAAGAGGCUCGUCAUCCGAAGAAUCACUCAUUUUUUCUGCCAUCUCCAUAUCCUCUAUACUUUCUAAUCCAUCCUGAUGAUCAAUGUUAAUAUUAACCAAAUCCAAGUCCAUAUCUACUUCAUCUCCACUCUCCGACGAUAAAUCGCCGAUAUCUGAUUGGUCUAGGUCCAGAUUAAGUCCUAACUAAUUCUUCUAGCUCGAAGCUGGUUAAGGCCCCUAAAAAUUAUUUCAUAGACGAGUUACGAAAUAAUGAUGUUCAACAAGGCAAAUAAUUAAAAAAAUCCAAAAUAUGAUUUUAUAUUUAACACAGAAGUCUUAGAUACCCACUGGUGAUACCUUUACUAAGUCUACCAUUUGCGGCACGAUUAGAUUACUAAGAGAGAAUUUUUUAUUAAACAUGUUCUAUGUGCUACCUGCCGUCAAUAUAUAACAAUAAAAAAGCAAGAACAAUAUUACUUACUCUUAUUUUGGUCAAAAGGCAUAAUGAUGCAACGUGCACUUGCAAAUGUAAACAAUACAGUAACCUAACCUCACCACUACAGCGUGCGUCGGCAAAAUAAAAAUGUGUGCGCAUUAUUGGCUAUGUAUCACUUAUGAUACCAUCGAGAACUGGCGGCUAAUUGCUUCAGCGCACCGAAAAAAAAAUUAAAUCCUCAGGUAUCAUAUAUAAUACUUGGGGUUUGAGGAGGUUAUUCCAGAAUUGAAAUUUAAGGGAGUUAUUAUUGGGGUUUAAUGAGGCACAUGCACACUUACCAAAUAAUACGAAUAGCAAUCAGGGUCGCAAGAAAUAAGAUACUUUCAAAGGCCUUUAACGAAGUAGGGUAAACGAGAUAGGUCCUACUGCAAUGAUUACACCAGCUUUUGAAAACGUUAAGUUACACGUGCGUGAAAAGCAAAUCCCUUCAUUUAGAAUAUUUUUGAUAAAUUUGAGCUCAUUUUCGACUUCUUUUAAAUCACCUGCUUCAUGAAUAUUUUCUUGAUCGUUAGAAUGGUCAUCACUUUUUUCAGAAAUGUCUCCAAAUUGUAGUUUUCUCGUGACACGCUGCAGUUGUGAUUUUUGUAAAGGUUUCUCUAGUCUAAGGGUUAAUUUAUUUAUGAAAAGCUCUUCUCGUGGUGGUUGUUGAGUACUAAAAAUGGUAUUUUCAACCUUUAUAUUUUUUAAGCAUUUCUGUUCACUUUGCCCUCUUCUGUUUUUGUUUUUAAGCGCUUCCUUUUCUUUAGCAGCUUUUUUUAAUUCUUUUUCCUUCUUUCUAUUUUCCUUUUCACUAAGCCCGAUCUGUUUCUUUAGUUCUUUAUCAUCAUGAAACUUUUUCCAUGAUGACGACGACAAAAUAAAAGAUACCUUUUCGGAAGUUUUUUCCCUUUCCUUUGGGGCGUAUUAGGGUAGUAUAAAUAUUUAUCUAGAGCGGUUUUGUCUGGAAAUUGUAUAAUGUUUUCUUUAGGAUCAUCCAUAGUUAAAUCAUUAGGAAUAUCUAAAGGUAUAUCUGCCUUAUUAAUUUCUUUGAAAUUGUCCACGGUGAUUUCAUCUAAUAAAAGGUCUUCAAAAUCAAACUCAGUUUCUUUAGGAUUAUUAAGAUUCCCAUCUUUUAGGAUAAUCCAUUAAAUUUUCUUCAGGAUAAACUAUAACUUCAUGCCAAACACCAUCUUGUUCUAUAAUAAUAGGCAAAGUCUGGAUAUCUAUUUUAGACAUGUCAUUUUCAGUAUUUUCCAGUCGAAUAGGAUCAUAACUUGCUAUUUCACUUGCUUUAUCUUCUUUUGGAAUAGUUUGUGUAGCACUUUCUUUUUCUAUUUCUUGUUGAGCCUCCUCGGAUGCUAGUACUUGAUUUGUUUCUGUUUGUACAUUUUUGGCUACGUAAUUUAAUGCACUAGCUUCAGUUUGUUAUAUUUUUUUUACGUUUUGAUAUUCAUUCCAUAGAUUAUAUAAAAUAUUAUCAUCAUUCGUAUCAAAAAUUCCAUCAGUAUUUUUUGUGAGUAGAUCAAUUUUUGUUUGGCCAAUAAUUUCUUUAAAUCUUCUAAAGUUUAUAGUUUUUUUCGUCAUUGUUUGUUGGAGCACUGGAUGUUGUAUUGUUUUUCCCCAAACAUUUACUAAAGUCAAUCGAGUUUGGUUUCCAUGGAAACAACCCGCAUGCUUUAAAACCAUUGAUUAUAAUUUCCGGACGAACUGAAUUUGAAAUGACAACGCUCAAUAAUCCUGCAAACUCUUUUUUUGUCAAUUCUUCAGUUGGAUUAGUUCUACGCCAUUCUAAGACCCCCUUUCUCCAGCCAUCCUUUAAAGGUUUAAACGUUGAUACAUCCGCUCGCUGGAGAAUGCGGGUUGCAUUGGGGUAGAGGGAUAUGAGAAUAAUUUCCAGGUUACUACACAACUGGCUUAAUUUUCGUUUAAUAUGUGUUUUAUGACCGUCGACGAAGAGUAUUACCGGAAAAUUAAUGCCUACUUUUUUUAAAUGCUUAUAGAAACUAUUGGCUACAUAUUCGUAGGAGAUUUCUGUUUUCAUCCAGCCUGUAUCACUAGUUGCGAAUGUAAAUCCAUCAGGAACAGAAUCACCAAUUUCUUUACGAAGUCUUUUACCUGGAUCUAUGAUUAAUGGCGGAGUAUAACUUCCCGCAGCACUAAAAGUAAAGAGUAAAUACGUUUUUGGUGCCCCUGGGCGUGAUUACUUUUUUAAUUUUGGGGGCAUAGUUGAAAAUUCGUCUCAUCGGCAUUAAACAGUCGCUCGGGAUCCUGAAGCACUUCGCUGUAUCCUUUUUCACUUAAAUACCAUCAAACCAAGAUCUUAUAUCACUCUCGCUAACGUUGGAUGAUGCAGCAGAUACUCAGUUUUUCGGAUCGUCAACUCCGGGUGUCUUUUCAUAAAAGCUUUAUACCAUCCAUCUCCUGGCAGGUUACCUUUGAAUGGAUUUUCUCGAGGUGAUUCAUCGAGAAAUUGUUUCACUGAAAUAUGGAUAUCCUCUUUUCUACGCGGGAUUUUUUUUUGGCACUCUUUAAUCCAGUUAAAAAAUGAGCUCCUCAUUGGUUGUUAGAAUAGGAGAUGGGCCGUGGGAAGAUUUGGAAAACUUAUCUGACAGCCUAAAUUGCAAAGUAGCUCUGGGAGUGUUGUACUUUCUACAAGCCUCUCAUUUGGGCAUUCCAUUAUUUACUUCCUGAAGAGCUUUAUUUAAACGAUCGAAUACCUUUUAGUAUUUGAUUCUUGAUUUGCAGUCUUAGGCAUUCUAGAAUAAAAAAAAUGACAAUAACAACUAUAAAAAAAAUAAAUAAAAGGUUUUAAUUAUGUAUAUUAUUAUUAUUAUUAAAAUAGUUAUUAUUGUUGCUAUUUUUAACAAAUUAUGCCAAAAAUGUGGCUUAGUUAAGAAAAAUUGUGUAAACUCAUCAAAAUGCUAUUUACACAAUUAUCGGCCGUGGACAAUAACUCAAUCCAAACAAAAUAUUGAAAAUAUGGUACUGAUAUUAUAAAAUAAACACCAUUUGCAAUGCAAAAUCUAUUAAACCAAGUUUUUUUAUAAUAGAGCAAAAUUACAGUUAUUAUUCUACUAUCUAUUCUAUACAUUUUACGAAUACAGUAAUUGGCCCCCUUAAUUUUUAGUAAAAAAAGCAUGUUUUUAAUCCUUUUUGCUCAAAAAAAUUAAUUUAAAAUCCCACUAAAUGAUUUACAAGUGAAUGUUAACCGAAAAAGAUGAUAUUGACAAGAAAAACUAUAAAUAAAAAUUAGCUCUAACUUACCUGUUUCAAGAAAAAUGGAGACAAAUUCACUUUAGCAAAACACGUUCUCUCUCUAACAGCUGUUAAACGACAACUAAACGAUGAUAUAUCCGGAAGCUUUGCAUUUCCUUAAAGGAAUGGAUGAUCACACUAUGCAAAUCAAAAAAGACCGUUAAAGGUUUAUUUACACAGCACUAAUUAGAAAUAUUAUAAAAACUGCGGGCCAACAACUAUCACGUUUACCCUAAAUUGACUGAAUUCUCGUAGGUAAUUGUUUCGUUAUCGACACGGUCGAAGGCCUUUAUUAAAUCACAAAAUACCGCUUCAAAGAUUUGCUGAAGAAAUGUUUUUGUGAGAAAACGACUAUGGAAGUGAACUACAGCUUGUAGAGGUCAUUUUUUGCUCUCAUUCCUUUUUAUUUCCGUGAUGAAUGACUUAGACCUUUGAAAUUGAAGUAUUUCAAUACAUUGUGUCUUCUCCAUGUGCGUAUAAAAUCAUUUUUCAAUAAUUUACUAGUACUCAUACAUAAUUCCGCUUUUAACUGAGAUGUAACAGGUCUGGCAAAUGAUAAAACAUUACAUGUUUUUUUGAUACAAAACGUUUGAUGUUUUACAUACGGGCGGACAUCUUGUAUAUAAGCACGUGCGUCUUCUAUGUAUUAGAUAGGAAUAAGUAUUUAAAAUUCAGCCUGUAUAUAAACUAAAAUCUGCAUGUUUAUAUUUGUUAUGUGACUUACAAUAGGUCACAUUACGAAAUUGUUUAUUGACUGUUAUUAGAAUAAUUAAUCCAAUUGAAUUUUAUCCGAAGUAGGUAUUUAAUUUCUAGAAUUAAAUUAAUUAGGUAGAUAUUAUAAGGAAUGCUUAAGGUAUAAUUAUUAAGAUAUUUAAGGGUACGUUUUGUUUUUUAUUAGUGAUUAAAUUUUAAUACUUACCUAUAGGUUUAUACCAAAAAAAAAUUAACGAUCCGUUUUUAUUAAUAUGGUCACAAAACACCGUCACGGGCUAAGAAUAUUUUCAAUUGUACAAAAUCGUCAACGUUUAGGAAUCUCUAUGUUAAAUGUGACAUUAAGGCUUAAGUUUAGAUAAAAUUUAAAAAAUUAUGUAAGGUAGGCAAGGGCAAUAGGGCCCACAAAUAAAAUAUAUGAAUAAAAACUUGAACGUA
rnacentral:misc_RNA from 1 species